UGGAUAAGGCAUGCAAGUCGAACGAGUAUUUGUGUAACACAUCGAGCGGAUAGCGAAAGCUAUAUGCCCGUUGUGUUAUGCAUAUGCUAGUGGCGAACGAGUUAGUAAUACCUUGGUAACCUACCCUUGAGUUGAGAAUAACCUUUCGAAAGAAGGGCUAAUACUCAAUAGCCCCGAUUUUCAGUAAUGUUAAUCGGGUAAAGAAGCAAUUCGCUUAAGGAGGGGCCUGGGUCCUAUCAGCUAGUUGGUGAGGUAAUGGCUCACCAAGGCUAUGACGGGUAGGGGGGCUGAGAGGCUGAUCCCCAACGACGGCACUGAGACACGGGCCGUACACCUACGGGUGGCAGCAGUCGAGAAUAUUCCACAAUGGGCGAAAGCCUGAUGGAGCGACGCCGCGUGCAGGAUGAAGGUUUUCGGAUCGUAAACUGC
rnacentral:rRNA from 1 species